GACGAACGCUGGCGGCGUGCCUAACACAUGCAAGUCGAACGGAAAGGCCCUGCUUUUGUGGGGUGCUCGAGUGGCGAACGGGUGAGUAACACGUGAGUAACCUGCCCUUGACUUUGGGAUAACUUCAGGAAACUGGGGCUAAUACCGGAUAGGAGCUCCUGCUGCAUGGUGGGGGUUGGAAAGUUUCGGCGGUUGGGGAUGGACUCGCGGCUUAUCAGCUUGUUGGUGGGGUAGUGGCUUACCAAGGCUUUGACGGGUGGCCGGCCUGAGAGGGUGACCGGCCACAUUGGGACUGAGAUACGGCCCAGACUCCUACGGGAGGCAGCAGUGGGGAAUAUUGCACAAUGGGCGGAAGCCUGAUGCAGCAACGCCGCGUGCGGGAUGACGGCCUUCGGGUUGUAAACCGCUUUCGCCUGUGACGAAGCGUGAGUGACGGUAAUGGGUAAAGAAGCACCGGCUAACUACGUG
rnacentral:rRNA from 1 species